AUCGCUUCUCGGCCUUUUGGCUAAGAUCAAGUGUAGUACAAUAGGAUCUCAUCCAUUUGUGAAAUGUAUUUAUAAAAUAAAGCUGU
rnacentral:sRNA from 1 species